rnacentral:rRNA from 1 species
CCCUUAGAUGUCCUGGGCUGCACGCGCGCUACACUGAUGUGUCCAGUAAGCACCUAACCUAUUCCGAGAGGAGCGGGUAACCUUAGCAAAGCACAUCGUGAUGGGGAUAGAUUAUUGCAAUUAUUAGUCUUGAACGAGGAAUUCCUAGUAAGCACAAGUCAUCAGCUUGCGUCGAUUACGUCCCUGCCCUUUGUACACACCGCCCGUCGCUCCUACCGAUUGGGUGUGCUGGUGAAAUGUUCGGAUCGGCCGUUUGUCGCGGUUUCCGCGUCAUGUGGCUGAGAAGUUCAUUAAACCCUCCCACCUAGAGGAAGGAGAAGUCGUAACA